rnacentral:rRNA from 1 species
UACAGAGGAUGCAAGCGUUAUCCGGAAUGAUUGGGCGUAAAGCGUCUGUAGGUGGCUUUUUAAGUCCGCCGUCAAAUCCCAGGGCUCAACUCUGGACAGGCGGUGGAAACUACCAAGCUGGAGUACGGUAGGGGCAGAGGGAAUUUCCAGUGGAGCGGUGAAAUGCGUAGAUCUUGGAAAGACCACCAAUGGCGAAGGCACUCUACUGGGCCAUUACUGACACUAAGAGACGAAAGCUAGGGGAGCAAAUGGG